rnacentral:rRNA from 1 species
UAAAGCUACAAAGAGCUAAUGGGGAAUGCCUUGGUACUGACAGCCGAUGAAGGACGUGUAAAGCUGCGAUAAGCUGCGGGGAACUGCUAAAAGGUCUUGAUCCGCAGAAAUCCGAAUGGGGAAACCCUAUCAAGUUAAAACUUGAUAACUCACAAGUGAAUACAUAGCUUGUGUAGAGGAAAGCCUGUGAACUGAAACAUCUUAGUAACAGGACGAAGAGAAAAUAACCCAAUGAUUCCGAGAGUAGCGGCGAGCGAAAUUGGAAGAGCCUAAAUUGUGUGUACGUGAUAGCCUGCAAGCGUUGUGCACAUGAGGUUGUGGGACUUGCAUCAUAUUUUGCAGAAUAUGGAUUGAGUUACAAAAUUAUUUAUUAGUUAAAGUCAACUGGGAAGUUGCGCCAUAGAGAGUGAUAGCCUCGUAAACGACAAUAAAUAAUCUCAAGUAAGUAUCCCGAGUAAGGCGGGGCACGUGAAACCCUGUCUGAAUCCACCGGGACCAUCCGGUAAGGCUAAAUACUAGUCAGUGACCGAUAGUGAACGAGUACAGUGAUGGAAAGGCGAAAAGAACAGUGAGAAGCUGAGUGAAAUAGACCCUGAAACCGUUAGCUUACAACCAGUCAGAGCACAAUUAAUUGUGUGAUGGCGUGCCUGUUGAAGAAUGAGCCGGCGAGUUAUUUUUUGUUGCGAGGUUAAGGAGAUCAUAUCCGGAGCCACAGGGAAACCGAGUCUGAAUAGGGCGUUAAGUAACAGGAAAUAGACCCGAACCUUGGUGAUCUAACCUUGACCAGGAUGAAGCGUGGGUAACACUACGUGGAGGUCCGAACCAACCGAUGUUGAAAAAUCGGUGGAUGAGUUGAGGUUAGGGGUGAAAUGCCAAUCGAACCAAGAGCUAGCUGGUUCUCCCCGAAAUGCGUUUAGGCACAGCGUUGGAUUUAUCUUGCAGGAGGUAGAGCACUGGUUUUGUGCGGGCGUCGAAAUGAUGUACCAAACAAUGUCAAACUCCGAAUACCUGUAAUGUCAUUAUCCAGCAGUGAGGCUAUGAGUGAUAAGAUCCAUGGCCAAGAGGGAAACAGCCCAGAACGCCAGUUAAGGUCCCUAAUAUAUGCUAAGUGGUUAAGGAGGUAGAGUUACUGAGACAACCAGGAGGUUGGCUUAGAAGCAGCCAUCCCUUGAAAGAGUGCGUAAUAGCUCACUGGUCAAGUGACUCCGCGCCGAAAAUACACCGGGACUAAAGCAUAUAACCGAAGCUGCGUCAUAUAGUUUACUAUAUGGGUAGGGGAGCGUACUGUAGUAAGACGAAGCUAGAGUGAAAACACUAGUGGAUGAGGCAGUAGUGAGAAUGUCGGCAUAAGUAGCGAAAACAUUGGUGAGAAUCCAAUGCACCGAAAACCUAAGGUUUCCCACGGCAGGCUCGUCCGCGUGGGGUUAGUCGGAUCCUAAGCUCAGGCCAAACGGCGUAGGCGAUGGACAAUAGGUUGAUAUUCCUAUACUAUCUGAUAAUCGUUAUCAGAAGCGGAGGGACGCAAGAGGAUAAGCACGCAGUCGACUGGAAGAGACUGUAUAAGCGUGUAGCUAGGUUUGACAGGAAAAUCCGUCAAAUCGUUAAUGUGAGGCGUGAUGUGGAGAGUCUACGGACUCGAAGGUGUUGACUCCAAAUUGCCAAGAAAAUCUUCGCUCUCGAGAUUAUUGGGUAUCCGUACCGUAAACCGCCACAGGUAGGUUGGUAGAAAAUACUAAGGUGCGCGAGACAACUCUCGCUAAGGAACUCGGCAAAAUCACCUCGUAACUUCGGGAGAAGAGGUACCCUGGUAGCGUGAAGCGAUUUACUCGUGAAGCGUGAUAGGGUCGCAGUGAAUAGGCCCAAGCGACUGUUUACCAAAAACACAGGUCUCUGCUAAGUCGAUCAAGACGAUGUAUAGGGGCUGACGCCUGCCCGGUGUCGGAAGGUUACGCGGAAAUGUUAGAAGCAAUUCAAAGCAUCGAAGCUAAGCCCCGAUGAACGGCGGCCGUAACUAUAACGGUCCUAAGGUAGCGAAAUUCCUUGUCAGGUA